rnacentral:rRNA from 1 species
AGCAGCCGCGGUAAUUCCAGCUCCAAUAGCGUAUAUUAAAGUUGUUGCAGUUAAAGAGCUCGUAGUUGAAUUUCGGGGUUAGUAGGUUGGUCAUGCCUCUGGUAUGUACUGGUCUCACUGAUUCCUCCUUCCUGAUGAACCUUAAUGCCAUUUAUUUGGUGUUUUGGGGAAUUUGGACUGUUACUUUGAAAAAAUUAGAGUGUUUAAAGCAAGCUAACGCUUGAAUACAUUAGCAUGGAAUAAUGAAAUAGGACGUUCGAUCCUAUUUUGUUGGUUUCUAGGAUUGACGUAAUGAUUAAUAGGGAUAGUUGGGGGCAUUAGUAUUCAAUUGUCAGAGGUGAAAUUCUUGGAUUUAUUGAAGACUAACUACUGCGAAAGCAUUUGCCAAGGAUGUUUUCAUUAAUCAAGAACGAAAGUUAGGGGAUCGAAGACGAUCAGAUACCGUCGUAGUCUUAACCAUAAACUAUGCCGACUAGGGAUCGGAUGAUGUUAAUUUUUAAUGACUCAUUCGGCGCCUUAC